UAUAGUAUAGAUAUGGAUGCGUCUCUCUCUCUUCUUAUUCUCUCUCCUCUUAUUUUCUCUCCUUUCUCCAUUGACAUCUCACACAAACACACGAGCACCACCACCGACCACCACCAGCCACUGCCCCUCCGAUGAUGUUAGUUACCCGAGCACCAAUCGAUUGAUUCCGAGCCACAGUGAUGUUAGUUACCCGAGCACCGAUCGAUUGAUUCCGAGCUUGGCGUUAUUCUAAUUCCGAGCUUGGAGUUCGAUUCUGAUUCUGAGCCCCUUCCACGGAUUUGAUUUUCUUUUUCAUUUCAACUUUAUGAUCUCAAGCCGCAAAGAUUCAUAGAGAGACAGGGGCUUAUGAGCAUCCCAUGUCAUGUCAUGUCCACAUCUUGUGUCCAUAUCAAUACAAAACAUGCUUUCAACUUUUUCCUUUCUGAGUUAUCUGGGCUCUACAAUCACCAACCACGUUGAUCAUCUCUGGAUUUGAAGGGGUGCUUGUGUUUCUAGCUAAAAACAAAAAUGAGGGUACCAAUCCCUCCCAAAGAAGCUCCGAUCUACUCCAAUCUACUCCUCAUGACAACCUUCCAACUCCGGUGAAUGAAGUUGGUUCUAUUAUUGAAAGCAUUGAAGCUAUGAAAAUAUCUAAGCGUGUUGGUUCUUCAAUUGCAAACGUUCCAAUUUGUUUAGAUACGGUAAGUUAUGCUCUUUUUAGAAGUCUCAAUUGUUAUGAUAUGGUAAUUAGUUAUACAUUAUUGGCAUCUUCUUGGGGCUGUGAAUAUUGACAAUGUUGGUGGUAUUAAUGAUUCUAUCUAACUACAAUUAUGAUUAUACCAAAUUUGGAUUUUGGGGGAUCAUACAUUAAUCUUCUUCUAGUGGCUUUUAUGUUUGUUUUUAGUUUUCUUAAUUAUAGUGAUCAAACUGGGAAUGUCAUAGGAUCUGAAUUCCCUUUUCUAGCUCAGUGAAGUUUUCUUUCUUUUUUGGUUCUUGAAUUCCCUUGUAAUCUAAUUGCCUGUCUUUAUACUAUGUAUUGAGAUAAAAAGCAACAUACCUGCAUUAACUGUUUUACUGUUAGUGAUUUGUCUAUUUGUCUUUUAACCUCUGUUGCUCUGUAAUUUCAAUCUUUAAUUUUCUUGGUUUUCGUGAAUGUGGGACUUUCAUUUGUGAGAGGAGCUUCAAUCUGGAAGAAAUCAGUGAUAGAGUUUAUGAUGUAAUUGAAGUUCUGUUAUGGCUGAUUAAUUGUAGAAUAUGCAUCAUAUAAUAUCUAGGGUUUCUGUUGUGAAGUAUAUCAUACCUUCCAAAAAUCAUCGACCGACUCGAGUUGUGAAGUAUAUCAUUAAUGUUUAAUUUAUUACUUUUUACAACUUUACUUGCAUGCCGUAAAUGGCGCUCAGCUUUUCACGGCAUGUCAUAUAACGGUAUUUGUGUGCAUGCCGUGAAAAAGUUUUUACGACAUGCAUUGCAAGCCGUAAAAAUUCAAUUUUGAUGUAGUGCAUUACCACACUACCACAAAAUGUGUAAUUUCAUUACUGAAUUACAAAUUAUCAUAACUCUUACCAGAAAAAUAUAUAAUAUUUACUAUAAAAAUGCAUAACAUUUACUUCAAAAAUACAUAACAGAUACAUAUGAUACACAUCCUUUGAAAGGGUGUGUAGCGUAGUGUUUACCCUUUUAAUUUUAUUAUUGCGUGAUAAACAUUUGCAAGAAACACUAGUUUAUAAAGCAUUUUUUCUUCCUAAUAUGUUGUGUAACCAUAGAAAAGUUACAUUUCAUCUUCUCUUUGUUUUUGGAUUGGUGAGAAAGCUAAUGAUAAGACAAUACAAAUUUUUAUUAUUUAUUGAUAUAUCUUAGACUAUUUUUUUCCUACAAAAGUAAGCUUGAGUAAUUUUAAAUGUAGGAUGAUAUUUUUUAUUUUUUAUUCAAUUUUAAAAAAAUUAAAGUAAUUAGACUACAAUAGUUGAAAAAACAUUGACUUAAAUCUUUGUACGAACAUGAUUUUACACACAUGAAUAAAAUGUGACUAGAACUCUCAUUAAGCCUUUAGCUAGUAAAACAAUGCCUAGACGAUGAACUAAUCUGGUAGACAUGUUUCGGAAAAGCACCUCUCUUAUGGCUAAGGCAAAACUUGGGAUCAAUAGGGAAAGGAAAGAGGGAUUUAGGGUUAUGUACGCGUAAAAGAAAUCGAAUCCUUUAUAUGUUGAUCUUGCUUGCUUUUAUAGCUUUUCCUCAUGUGGAUUGGUAUUGCCCAAACAAUAUUUAUGAGGACUCUCUAUUAAGCAAAUAAGCUUAUCCAAACUCCCUAAAGUCAUGCAUGCAAUGAACAUUUACAUUUCAAAAUAAGCACGGCGACGCUAGCUGGCAAUCGAUACCCGACAAUCUGAUCGACCACCUAGCUCAUACAAGCCCUAUGCAUAAAUGAAUUAGCUAUAUUAUCAAUUUAAAAAUAUGUAUUGUAAAUAUUCAAUUAAUAAUUUCUUAUCUCAAAAACCUAGAAAAUAAGUUUUGAAUAAUAUUAAAAUGUAAAAAGCCUCAUUUUAAGUUAUUAUUUUAGACUUCAAAUUAUUUUGAACUGACUCUUCUUUUGAAUAUUUUAUGAUUCAUUUAUACGUAUGUAGAAGUGAUGUUCCUUCAAAAUUUUAUCAUUGCCAAUUGUUUAAAAAGUAGCCUUGGUACAUCCCAAAAGUUGGAGAAGGGAUAUCAACUGUGCCUUUGAGCACAACAAGAGAUACUAUGCCUACUCAAAUAAUUUGAUUUAUUUUAGAAUGGCAAAAAAACAUUUAAAGAUAUAUUUAGAAGUACCCUUUCCUAAAGCUAAAUACUUUAGCAGAGAGGAUACAGGUAGUGACAAGGGCACCCUAAAUACCGAUUAAGCCCAUUAUAUUAGUAAUGUUAGGAAUACUAAUAGAUAGGGCUGGGUAUAGGGUUAUUCAAACUGUCUAAGUUGAACCAAUCUGCAUAUAAAUAGGCGGUUUCAUAGACACAAUACGGACGGAUGCGGUUUGGAAUAUGGCAUGAUUGUGAGUUGCGGGUGGGUUGCCGGUUUAACCCUCACCCGCAAGAAACCGCCCGCAUUUAGACUUUUUUUUUUUAAUAAUAAAACCUGGACUGUUAUUAUUUUAUUAUUGCAUUUUGGAUGAAUGUAAAAGUUAAUGAAGAAUUACUUUUAGGGAAGCAUAGGAUUUUGAAUGAUUUU